AGCGAGGCAGGUGUGGCUAAUUCUGUCUGUUUGUACGUAUCAUCUGGAACCUCCCUGGUUUAAGAGACAACCUCGUAGCAAGAGGUCAGGAACCUCAGGGGAGUUUGGGAGCUUGCUGACUCACUCAUGACAUAUUUACUAGCUUUGUGGGAGAUGCUGUUGGCUUUCAUUUAGGAGAGUCAAUGGUCCUUUCAAUGAGGAGGCCCAACAAGAGGGAGUGUUGUAUAUCCAGUUGCUGAGACUUUCCAGUGGCCCUUAGGGAUCAGAGCAUCAAGCAGACCAGCGGUAGGUGACCAGAGAAGGGUGGCAGAGACUGAAAAAUGGAAAUCUCCCUGGAUGCCUUGGAUGAAGGUAACAGACACUGCCAGGCUCCAGCUAGUUGUUGACAUGUUUCGAUUUGGACCCGAAGGCCGGACCCUUUGAGUCCUGGGCAUCUGAAGACCUGCUUUACUAUGGAUGAACCUCACUGAACUAAAAACUGUGACCAACUAUUGUAAAGUCUGCCCAAGAGUGCCUGUGAUGUAUCCAGGCUCAGCUUUCUGUGAAGGCCAGCUUGGGGAGACAGUGCGUGGCAAACUGGACGGGCAGUGGCUGGCUUUGGGCAUGUGACAUGUUAAAGGCUGGGAAGUCCGCUCUUUACACAGAUGAGACAGAGAGCCCCGUGGGGACCAGGGCUCAGUCACUCACACUGUCUGUCCUUCAGGGCAGCUAUGGCAAACUCCUAGUCUUUGUAGCCACCAUUUAAGCAGUUGCUGUUUGCCUCUGAGGAAUCCUUAGUGAGCCCAUUCAUAGGAGAGUCUCUGAGUAAGAUACCAGCUGCUUGUGAGUCUCUGGCCGACAAAGGGAAUGGCACAGAUGGUCGAUGCUCUUCCCAAACCUGCCUCACACCACAGCGUUUAUUCUACAAGGGCAUCCACUAAUCAUUUACCUAGGGUAAACUGAAAUCCCCAAAUAACUCAGGUGGAAAAAAAUAUUAAGAGUGCCGAAUACCUGUGUUAUUUAUAGCCAUGUCUGCAUUCCAGAUACCUGAGUCAGGCCUCCUGGGAAAAACGUUUCCUUAUCUGCAGUUGACACAGGAAGGUUUUGAGUCUGGGUCAUAUACUUAAUGCUUGUACCCCCUUCCCAAUUCUAAAGUGCAAAAGGCCUUAUCCAGCCAGUGGGGAAAAAAGCAUAGAUAAGAAAUGCAGCCUUCACUCAGCACAGCCUUUGUUCCUUCUGGCCUCUCCUUGUGCAAAUACAGCUUUUAGAGCUCUUAAGAUCUGAACUGUCCACUUACGUUCCUGAUAACGAUUCCAGAAAAAUACCAGCUUCAGAGUGAUCUUGCUUCCUCUCCCCAGCUUGGGGCUUUCCGGAGGGCUGCAUGAAGACGGAAGUUUCCCUACCAGCCGGGUUAUGACCAUGGCGGAGAUGGCCGGAUAUAACUGCGUGGUGAUUUGUAAUUCCACCCACCUAGCGUUUUUAAUCCUUACGAACAGCUUCAUUUCCACGACUCGUUUUCUGUCCCCGAUAACUGUGCAGUGAGGUCAGAGAACAAGCAUUAUCAUCCACGUUUAAAAGAUGAAGGAGUGGAGUCCUGGGAGGCCAACUUGUCCAGAUGGCAAAACGGAGGUGUCUGCAGCCCCCGGGAAGGUUUGUCCCUAUUAUUUCUAAAGCACUGAGGCUCCCAGGACCUUCAGCUGACAUUACUAAGUGGAGGUCAACUCCAUUAUAACAUGCUGCAAUAUGACGUCUGCCUCAUUUGUUCUAUAGGGGAACAAAGACCUGCUAAAAUACCUGUCAUACUUGCAUUCGUCCUAUUCCCAAAUCUCAGUCAUUAUAACAUUGGUACUUUUUAAUGUGAGGAAACAAAAACAAAAAAGGAAAUGUUGUAUUUUUCAUAGUUGCCAAUAUCCUUGAACAGCACAAGGAAGAUUUCAUUUUCUCUGAAGGAAUUUUUUUUUCCUCUAUAGGAUAUUUUGUUCUUCUCUAUGUAGACAUUUCAGCAAGAGAUCAUAGGCUAGCAGGUAGGGCCAGCCAGACAAAUGGUCUUUGAAGGCACUUUUCCAUGUGUUGGGGCUAUUCAAUGGGAAGAUGUUUCUGCUCCUGUCUAGUUUGUAUUUUGAAGGGGGUAGACAGAUGAUAAAUUAUUGACAAUGUAUGAUAGGUAAGGUCAUAGAUAAAAAGUGUUAAGGAAGGCCAGGUGUGGUGGCAUACCUUUAAUCCCAGCACUUGGGAAGCUGAGGCAGUUUAAAUCUCUGAGUUUGAGGCCAGUCUGAUUUACAUAGUGAGUUCUAGGCUGGCCAGGGCUACAUUGUGAGACUCAGUCUCAAAAACAUAAAUCAAUAAAAUAAAUAUGCCUGACAUGGAAAGAAGACAGAAAUUCAAUCCAACCAUUUGAUAAUAUUCACUCAUCACAUAGAAAAGGCUGGGAAUAUGGCCCAAGGAGAUAACUCCAGCUUACGUGGUCCUGGGUCCAAUCCCUAAGUGAGAGCAAGCAGCAAACAGAAGUUAUUCUCUGCCUCUUCACCUCCAUCCUGACCACACCUCCAAAUGAAAGCACUUCUCUUAGGUCUCAAAUCUCACAAUGCCCGCUCUCUGGCACAGAGAGUUCUGUCUUAAGAGUGCUGUGCCCGGCAUCAGCAUAUGUGACCUGAGAACCAUAAACCAAACUAUCAAAUUUGUCUCACUUCCUCUGCCCCUUCCCUGCUCCUCUUUUCUCAGCCUGUGUUAGAUGCCUGUAUAUUAGCCAUUUGUUCAUUCCUGCCACCCAUUUACACUGCUCCUUUCUUGGCCUAAGCCUUCAGUUGGCUCCUCUGGGGCCAUACUCCUGUCAAGAGCCUUGAACUCCCGUCCUAUAUGCAUCAUCUGUAGCAAUCCUACACAUCUGUUAUCCCUAGCCGCUUUCCCAAUGUCAAGUAUUUGGAGAGUUCCACAGAGUUUUCCCUUUCAUUGGUACCUAGGGCAGCAAGAGGAAGAGGAGGGAGAUGGGGCUCUGGACCUUUAACACUACGCAGAAUGCCCCUUGUCUUCAGAUUUACAUAGAUUGUCUCCACGGAAAAUUUCCUUCUGCCCACUCUCCUCAAUGGCAACUCAUGUCCCCUUACUCUGGAAACCCCUACCUGGACAGCUUCACCAUGCCUUGCCAGCAGAGUGAAAGCCAGGUUUCCAUCACAGUAGGAUAAGGCUUUGACUUCUACAGAUGCCCAAAUACCACCAUCCUUUCCUCCUGCUGUCUCUUGCUGCCCACACUGCCUCUUGGCCAGAAUCCAGCUAUGGAACUGUCCCAGGCUCCUGUCUGAUUGAACCUAACCCUUUCUUCAUGCUGGCUUUCCCUUUAGUGUGCCUAGCCCCCCCCCUUCCUGGCAUAAACUUCACCCUUUUCCAUCCCUGAGAGAUAUCACCUACCAUGACCUGAUACUGUACUAUGUGUUUGUUAAUUACUCCUCUCACCACGGAACUAUAAGCUCCAUAAGAAUGAGAGUACUACCUAUUUUAUCACUGUCCUAUCUUCAAGCAUCCAGCAUUCAGUAGAAGACUGUUUGGUAUGUUGUUGUAAAAUGCUCCUUGUGCUAGCUAGUUUUUUGUUUGUUUGUUCGUUUGUAAUCAACGUUACACAGACUUGAGUCAUCUGAGAGGAGGGAACCUCAGCUGAAGCAGCUGAGAAAAUGAAGCCACAAGAUACAGCUGUAGGCAGACAAGGCUGUAGAGUAUUUUCUUCACUAGAGGUUGGUGGUGGACAGCCCAGUCCAAGUGUGGGUGGGGACAGUCUGCAUUCCACAAGAAAGCAGACUGAACAGGCUUUGAGGAGCAAGCCAUAGAAUUCCUUAACGGCUUUUAUAUCAGCUCUUGCCUCCAGGUCCAUGAUCUGCUUGAUUUCCUGUUUUGACGUUUGUGGAAGAGAAAGUGAAAUAAACACACUUUCCUCCCUAACUGAUAUGCUCAUUCAAUAUUUGUAGAUAAUGAAUGAAUAGACAGACAGAUGGAGAGACGGAUGGAUGGAUGGAGACUGCAAGGUGGCCUUUUAAGUUUCCAAGGCUCUCCAGAUCUAACUUACGCUGCACCUACCCUGUCUCUAUACACUCUGACCAAAUUCACUCCUCAACUGUCCCACCCCGCAAACAGUGUUGUCUUACCUGGUGAACCCUUGUCUUUGGAAUGCCCUUCUUCCAUCUCUCUGCUAUAGCAAAUGCCUGUCAAUUAUUAGUCCCCUGCCUGACCUGAUCUCUCUCUCUCUCUCUCUCUCUCUCUCUCUCUCUCUCUCUCUGUUUCUCCCUCCCUUUCUCCCACGCCCCCCACAACCCAGACCUCUACUCUUCUCAUAGAUGCCCAGUGCCCAUCUCUCUCUGUGAAUGCACUGGCACCCUGGCAAUGCUAGGUCUACUGCAUGACAGGUGGGAUCUUGAGUGUUCUGUGUGUUUGAUGACAUCAGAGCUGGGAGGAAGGAAGCAGUGGGUGGCGCAUAAUAGUAGUUCCUUCCUCUUUUCUGUGUUGAGAGUGACAGUCUAAUUGACCUGUGGGUGUUGCUAACUCACAGCAAGGUGACUUUUGCCUUUCACAGGCAAGGUACACCAAGUUCUCCCUAGCCUGGCUUUGCCUCCUGCUCUUGAACACCUCCAGCAGUGCCAAGAAGCCUCUUUUAACUCCUGUUCUCCACACUCCCACAACUAGCUAGACAGUCUCCUUGACUUGUACUCAAAUAACUUUUUUUUUUUCCAGAACUGAAGCUAGUGUUUCCCAAAGUGUGUCCUUAGACUUGGGGGGGGGGGGGGGAAGCAAGUGUGUGAGGGAGAGAUUGCAGCAAGAGUGAGUUCCACAUGCUAUUAUGAAUGCAUCACUUAGUUAGCACAUAUAUACACUUAUGCAUAAGCUAUCAAAGCUACAGAGUGUAAUUAUAUAAGAUUUUCAUGAGUGAUGGAGACAGAUGUAUAAGAAUCUUUGUGAAACAGGUUGAGGACUGACCCGCUGGAGGCAUUAUUAUUUCAUCUCUCCAAAUGAUAAUGCCCAGCGGAAGCCACAGGGGAAGUACAGUCAACUGGGUGUGUAUUCUUUACCGCCACUGCCCUGAAUCGCACUCCGCUUUCCACCCCUUGUUAGUCCCGUUCUACAGACGGAGCAAGAUCCCGCUAAGUUCGCGCAGGCGCUGAGGGGCAAGGGAGGACUCUCCAGCCUCAGGUCUCCCCUUGUCGAGCUGCUUCCAGCCACGCUGCCGCGUGAGAGCCACGGCCCCCUGCGGCUGCUGGCUGUUGCGCAGGGCAGCAAGCCCUUUCCACACAGCAUCCCACGCGAAGUCCUCCUUGUGGAGCAAGAGUUGUAACUGAUGUCUCAAACUGCCUUGGUGAAGGCGAGAGAGCCUGUGGUGGACUGAGGGAAUGUAUGCUGUACCCUGAGAAGGAAGCCCACUGAACAGAGAGAGGACUCUUUCUAGAAGCUGAGGUGACAUCUUUCCUCCCAAACCAUACAAGCAAGCAUUGCAAUGGAAGGUGCUCUCUGGGCUCAACCACUUUGCCUGAACUCUGGCAGCACACACAGAUUGUGGUGACUAAUAUGAAGCCUUUCUUCUCUUUUUGCCACCACUCUCCCAUCCCAGGGGAAGAGGAAAGGGCUGGUCAUGCUUGCUCCUUCUCAGGAAGAGAGCCACGGUGACAGCUGUCCCAGCCUUUUGGGGCCUGUACCAACUUGUUUCCGGGAAAGACUAACACACUUUUCUGAUGGUCUUGUUUCUUCACUACUCUCUUUGUAUUUCUUUUCAAAUGAAACUUGAAAACAACAGGAUAA